AGAUUAAGCCAUGCAUGUCUAAGUAUAAGCUUUUAUACGGCUAAACUGCGGAAUGGCUCAUUAUAACAGUUAUAGUUNACUUGAUAAUCUUUACUACAUGGAUAACCGUGGUAAUUCUAGAGCUAAUACAUGCAAAAAAACCCAACUUCUUAGAAGGGUUGUAUUUAUUAGAUAAAGAACCAAUAUUUUUGGUGACUCAUAAUAACUUUACGGAUCACAUUUUGUGACAUAUCAUUCAAGUUUCUGACCUAUCAGCUUUAGACGGUAGGGUAUUGGCCUACCGUGGCUAUGACGGGUAACGGGGAAUUAGGGUUCGAUUCCGGAGAGGGAGCCUGAGAAACGGCUACCACAUCUAAGGAAGGCAGCAGGCGCGCAAAUUACCCAAUCCUAAUACAGGGAGGUAGUGACAAGAAAUAACAAUACAGAACCUUACGGUUUUGUAAUUGGAAUGAGUUAAGUAUAAACCCCUUAACAAGUAUCAAUUGGAGGGCAAGUCUGGUGCCAGCAGCCGCGGUAAUUCCAGCUCCAAUAGCGUAUAUUAAAGUUGUUGCAGUUAAAAAGCUCGUAGUUGGAUUUCUGUUAAUUUUUAUAUAUAAUACUACGGUAUUUAUAUAAUAUUAACAUAAUUCGCAUUACUUUAUGUAUGCGAAUUUACUUUGA
rnacentral:rRNA from 1 species